AUGAUUUAUCGUUUAGUUAAUUAGUUGGCGAUUCAUUUUCUGUCGAUCGAGUAAUGUGAACAGCCUGAUUAGGCGACAGAGGCAGUUCACUCUUUUUUGGGUUCAUAUUGUAGAUAUUUCUUAAUGCCAUCUAACAACUCUUUUUUUUCUCAACUCAGUAGCGCUGUGGCUCAUUAGACUUUCAACUAAGAACUUUUUCAACUAAUUAAAAUGUAGGCCAGAAGAAAUAUGCUUCACCAUUUCAAGUGAAUCCAAUUAGAAGCAGACAGUAUACUGUUAAUUUCACUACAUCCAUUUUUUUAAGUGUAUGGGUGUCAUUUAUACUGGAGAGCACUCCCAAUUUACUGCAACUAGAUGUUUUAGUGGUCAUUAAUAUAUUAUUUAGGCUGUAUUUAGUGACAACACACCGUAUUUUAGGGUUUACUGAUAUGGAUACAGUAAAAAUGAAGCAUUUAAUGAUCAUAUCGUGUCUCAGUACACCCUUAAACAUGUUCCCCUCUUCCUUCUUUUAACUCUCAUAUCUGUUUCCAGUUUCAAGGGAAGUCAUUCAUCAAGUGUAGACACAGAUUCUACUGUUGGCAUCCUGACAGAUUUGGAGAUGGAUAGAUCUGAUCUGCAGCCAAAAUAUGAGGACCAAACACAGUGGAAUUUCUCCAGAAAGUUGAUUUAUCUCAUCGUUGUCUGUUGUAAUUCUGAAAACUCAAGUCUUAAGAUUCCUGAGGCAGGUUUUUCAUCAUUUAAGUGAAAACGCUUUGCAGUGUAAUUAUCUGGAAAAUACAGUGUCUCAGGGUGGUAAUUAAGCUGCCAGUCUGAAGCAACAUGCUGAGCCGUUUCUUCAGGCUGCAGGAUUUUUCUCCAGUGAUCCACAGAUCCGUCAUCACACCAGACCACCUGCUCCUUCACAUUCAGUCACAGAUUUUGAAAAUGUGUCACUGCCUCUUGGAUCAAAUAAAUUUUGACUUGUCAAUCUGUAUUUGAAUGUCAGGUUUGGUUUUUAAGUAAGUGCAUAGUUUUCAAUAUUUAUGAAUGAUGUACUAUAUAAAUAUUCAGCAAAAUACACGCCAAUUAGACACCCACACAGGUGUUUUUUUUUAGUUAUUUGGCGUGAUCAGACCACCUCAGGCCUGUGUGGGUGUACAGACUGUGACUGACUGACAUGUGUCUCGCUCUCUUGUUAGUUCUGUUGCACCCGUUAUAGCAGGACAACUUUUUAUUUACUUUGUUAUGACUACUUUUUGUACAUCUUUAUAAUUAUUACAGAAGUUGGGUGCAUAUUGGGUGCCCAACUUCAACCUGAGCAGGAGAUCUUAUCAGCCAGACAAAGUGAGAACACCUGUGGGGGUAUGCAAGGGUUUUAAAUUGAAGAAAGAAAAAAAAAGUGGACAAAAAUGAGUAUUGAGUAAACUUUAGAGAGUUUUCAUGCCAAAUCAUGACACAACAAACCAGAUGUAAACAGUGCAUAUAGUUCAAUGUAGAUACAUGUUUAUUUUUUAAAAUUUUAGUUCAUUUUACAGGUGAUUCUAGUUUAGUUUUGGGUUUUGUGUCUUUAAAUUUUUUAUUCCUAUUUUUUUUUUAAACUUAGAUUUAGUUUAUGCCAGUAUACUUGGUUAACUGAACAAGUCUUUCUCAAUGUGUGGAAACAAAUGAGCUUUUCCUUUAAGAAAGGAGUGCUGCUAGUGCUACCACACACAUACACAUACAGGCUCACAACUUAUAGCAAUACUACUUAGAUUGCAGAGAGUGAUUUGUCCUCUUAUCACAACAGCACAUAUACACAGCAGCAUACAAGUACAUGUAGACAUAAAGGCCAUUUUCCUCUUCAUCUAUAACCAUAAUUUCAUCUGAGACUGAGAUAUGAGAACUGGUCAGUUUCCAAGUGGAUUGCUGCACACGUCCGUUUUUAUGAAUCAAAUACUCACCCUACAUAUGCUUUGAUUCAUAUCACAAUAUCCCACAGAGCCGUAAACACUGAUCACGCUGCUGCAGGGCAGCAUAAUGCCUGGCCAGCACAGGACUACAGUUUACAGCCGACCAGAACAGCAUGUUCCCUCAGCCAAUAUUAGUGCUUCAUUCAAGAGCAGCAGCCCUCACUCUAAAUAUGCAUCUGACAAGAGGAGCUGCUUCAUCCCCUGUAGGCUUUAGCUGAUGCCAUUCAUUAUAACAUGCUUCUCUCUGCCUAUAAACCAGAUCACCAUUAAAACAGCAGCACAUAUCUGAGCAUCAUGAUGCUGGCUUGGCUACUAGCAGCUAGCUGCAUUCAGUGCUAGGCCUUGUUACAGCCAUUGACUAUUUGUAUACAAUCAAUAGUUACAGCAGACCAAUGCUAAGACAUUAGUGUAAGCUGAAAGUGAAUCUGAUGGGCUUCUUUGAUAUAAAACUGCUGCCUGAAGGAGUCUGGCCUCACUGACUGUCUGGACAAUACAUGGGUGUGCACAACACCACCACAGAUGCAAUCACUAUCACUUUAUUUCAGCCUCAGCUUAUCAUAAUACCGGUAUUUAAAUUGUUUUUGAAUAAGACUCAUGAUCCCCAUUUUGUCUUAUUCAAAAGGAGGUGGAAACAGCUGCACUGUGCUAACAAUGGUUAGCUGAUGUUACCACACAGCUCGGCGUGUCCCCUCCUCCCCUCUUGAAACAAGCAGCUGCAAACUAAUGAGAGCAAAAUAAUGAGACUGGGCUGUCAUUUAUAAAACUAUCUCGCCACUAAUUUCAUAACAGAGUGUGGGAAAGCUUUAAAGAUAACUUUGCUAACAGUAACAAGGGGGGGUGGAUCGAGUGUGCAGAUUUGUAUUUUGAUUUAUCUCCAUGACAACUGAGAGGAAGCGUGAUACAGCUGAAAGAUCCGGAAAAAACCUAGACAACCGGUUUGGAGUCUAUCCCAGAAUGAAUCUGCAGAAGACGGGGAAACACCUUGGACCCUUCCCAAGAAUGCUACAGGGCUUACUAAGUCCAGGGAGGCUUUAGAUGCAGGCAUGAAGGAGAGGGAGUGGAGAACCUGAAGCUGUGGAGGCCAGCCAUCAUCCACCAGUUAGCAAUUACUCACAUCAGCCCUGAUGGAGUCUCUGAGGAAGGACUAUUCCACCUCACCAAAGACUAUGUGGCAGUAGCGUUGCCCUCUCCUCCACUGCACCAGAGUCGCUUACCAGUCUUGUGGAACAGCCCAGCCUCAAAAUCCUGCAUCCAGCAGAGUCCAGCACGACCUGCGACAGGCCCUUCUGGGCUCCAAGGCUGAAAAUGAGCAGCUGGUUUCCGAAAACACUGCUCUGAGAAACCAGAUUGCCACCAUGGAGCUCAUUUGGAAGCAUGAAAAGAAAAGUCUGAAGGACGAAAUAGACUCUUUGGUCUCCACGUUGUUCAUGGCAAGAAAUGACAUGGACAACCUGGUGAAGAUGGUUGAGUCCACCAGAGCCAGUCUAACAAAAUCUGAGACUGAGUGCAGGCAGAUGGCCAGGAGGGUGACCCAGAUCUCCCUCGAAAGAGAUGAUCUGGUCAGAGCAGUGAUGGACAAGGAGAAGGCUCUUGCUGAGAGCAUUGUCAACCAGCAAAAAUACCAUGCUCUGCAGAAUCAUCUCGCACUGGAGCAGGAAGAAAAGAAGGCAAGCCAUGAGAGGAUGCAGGAGCUGAUGGCUGAAAGAAAGAAAACGGAAGAGCAGUGGCACCGCAAAGAAAGAAUUAUGGAGCAGGAGAUGAGGCUCCUGAUUCUAAAAAAUAUUGAGCUUCAGGAGCUCGCCUUGAAGACAGACAGAGAGAAGGUGCAGAUGAAAAAGCAAGAGGAGAAAGCCAAGAGGGAAACAGAAAAGAGGCUGAAGAA